CCUUGCGCUAUCAGAUGAGCCUAGGUCGGAUUAGCUAGUUGGUGAGGUAAUGGCUCACCAAGGCUACGAUCCGUAACUGGUCUGAGAGGAUGAUCAGUCACACUGGAACUGAGACACGGUCCAGACUCCUACGGGAGGCAGCAGUGGGGAAUAUUGGACAAUGGGCGAAAGCCUGAUCCCAGCCAUGCCGCGUGUGUGAAGAAGGUCUUCGGAUUGUAAAGCACUUUAAGUUGGGAGGAAGGGCAGUUACCUAAUACGUGAUGUCUUGACGUUACCGACAGAAUAAGCACCGGCUAACUCUGUGCCAGCAGCCGCGGUAAUACAGAGGGUGCAAGCGUUAAUCGGAAUUACUGGGCGUAAAGCGCGCGUAGGUGGUUUGUUAAGUUGAAUGUGAAAAUCCCCGGCUCAACCUGGGAACUGCAUCCAAAACUGGCAAGCUAGAGUAUGGUAGAGGGUAGUGGAAUUUCCUGUGUAGCGGUGAAAUGCGUAGAUAUAGGAAGGAACACCAGUGGCGAAGGCGACUACCUGGACUGAUACUGACACUGAGGUGCGAAAGCGUGGGAGCAAACAGGAUUAGAUACCCUGGUAGUCCACGCCGUAAACGAUGUCAACUAGCCGUUGGGAGUCUUGAACUCUUAGUGGCGCAGCUAACGCAUUAAGUUGACCGCCUGGGGAGUACGGCCGCAAGGUUUAAAACUCAAUGAAUUGACGGGGGCCCGCACAAGCGGUGGAGCAUGUGGUUUAAUUCGAAGCAACGCGAAGAACCUUACCAGGCCUUGACAUCCAAUGAACUUUCUAGAGAUAGAUUGGUGCCUUCGGGAACAUUGAGACAGGUGCUGCAUGGCUGUCGUCAGCUCGUGUCGUGAGAUGUUGGGUUAAGUCCCGUAACGAGCGCAACCCUUGUCCUUAGUUACCAGCACGUAAUGGUGGGCACUCUAAGGAGACUGCCGGUGACAAACCGGAGGAAGGUGGGGAUGACGUCAAGUCAUCAUGGCCCUUACGGCCUGGGCUACACACGUGCUACAAUGGUCGGUACAAAGGGUUGCCAAGCCGCGAGGUGGAGCUAAUCCCAUAAAACCGAUCGUAGUCCGGAUCGCAGUCUGCAACUCGACUGCGUGAAGUCGGAAUCGCUAGUAAUCGUGAAUCAGAAUGUCACGGUGAAUACGUUCCCGGGCCUUGUACACACCGCCCGUCACACCAUGGGAGUGGGUUGCACCAGAAGUAGCUAGUCUAACCUUCGGGAGGACGGUUACCACGGUGUGAUUCAUGACUGGGGUGAAGUCGUAACAAGGUAGCCGUAGGGGAACCUGCGGCUGGAUCACCU
rnacentral:rRNA from 1 species